rnacentral:rRNA from 1 species
AAUCUUGCGCAAUGGGCGAAAGCCUGACGCAGCGACGCCGCGUGGGGGAUGAAUGCCUUAGGGUUGUAAACCCCUUUCCCGAGGGAAGAAACUGACGGUACCUCGAGGAGAAGCCCCGGCCAACUACGUGCCAGCAGCCGCGGUAAUACGUAGGGGGCGAGCGUUGUCCGGAUUUAUUGGGCGUAAAGGGCUCGUAGGCGGCUUGGCAAGUCGGCCGUGAAAACCCAGGGCUCAACCCUGGGACGCCGGUCGAUACUGCCAUGGCUAGGGUCCGGUAGAGGGGAAUGGAAUUCCCGGUGUAGCGGUGAAAUGCGCAGAUAUCGGGAGGAACACCAGUAGCGAAGGCGGUUCCCUGGGCCGGCACCGACGCUGAGGAGCGAAAGCGUGGGGAGCAAACAGGAUUAGAUACCCUGGUAGUCCACGCCGUA